AUUGAACGCUGGCGGAAUGCUUUACACAUGCAAGUCGAACGGUAGAGGGGGCAACCCCUUGAGAGUGGCGAACGGGUGAGUAAUAUAUCGGAACGUGCCCAGUCGUGGGGAUAACGUAGCGAAAGUUACGCUAAUACCGCAUACGAUCUAAGGAUGAAAGCGGGGGAUCGCAAGGCCUCGCGCGAUUGGAGCGGCCGAUAUCAGAUUAGGUAGUUGGUGAGGUAAAGGCUCACCAAGCCAACGAUCUGUAGCUGGUCUGAGAGGACGACCAGCCACACUGGAACUGAGACACGGUCCAGACUCCUACGGGAGGCAGCAGUGGGGAAUUUUGGACAAUGGACGCAAGUCUGAUCCAGCCAUUCCGCGUGCAGGAAUAAGGUCCUAUGGAUUGUAAACUGCUUUUAUACUAGGAAGAAACACACCCUCGUGAGGGUACUUGACGGUACUGUAUGAAUAAGGACCGGCUAACUCCGUGCCAGCAGCCGC
rnacentral:rRNA from 1 species